AACCGCUGUAUACGAGGCCCGUACGUACAGUGGUGUGAGAGGUUCUCCGAUAGGCAUUUAGCCUAUCGGCAGCCUACUCGAU
rnacentral:autocatalytically_spliced_intron from 1 species